CUUCCCUGAUGAAUGUUUCCACACACUCAUUGUCGAUUAUGUGCUUAACUGCAAUAUGCUGACCAUUUGAUAGCAUGCCUCUGUACACUUUUCCUGGUAUUCAAUAGGAUGACAUCAAAAUCCAAUCCCAUGAAAAAAGGAGGGUUCUUUUUUCUUGUUCUUUUACUUUGGUUGCCAUGGUGCUAUUUUCAUUCCAUGAAUAUGCUAACAUAUCUUCAGAAAAUUUCAACCAGUACCAAUUCAAGUCAAAAGGUGCAAGAGGUUAACACCUCCAGGCUUAGCCUAAUGGCUUGCACCUCAUGGUCUACCUCAUAUUCCUACUGAGGACCAUGGCACAAAGUUGGAACUGGAAGGCACAAUACUAACUACAGGACUAUCAUGCAUUAGUUUUGCUAUAUUGCUUUUUGUUUUAUGUUGACUGAAUCUGAAAAUAUAGCAUGUGAGUGCCAAUGCCAUAUUCUUCAGCAGUUUUCUGAAGGUUCUUUAUUUCUCCAGUAUCUUUCUUGUUAGUCAUCACUAUUCUUAGAUACCUGUUAAUAGAUAGAUCCUCACCAGCUAUGCCUUGACCAAUGAAGUUUGAUGCACUAAGAUUGUUGGUGGCGGAAUAAAUUUCCUUAAUUGAUAUGUUAAGACAUCUAAACUCCUCGGAUUCUGAAUCAUCUGAUGCUGUCAAAUAAAACAAGGAAAUUAUUCACAAACUCAAAUAUGGUCUGUUUAUGGUUUUUAAGUGUAGAAAGUAAAUACCAUCUUUUCCUUUUGGGUAGUCAUCUUUAAGCCUUCUACUGCAUAAGAUCCAUGAUGCAAUCAGUACUAUUACUGCAAUUCCCACUAGACCUCCGAUGACAAAAUACAGACCUGUGAUACUCGUCGAAAGUUAUCCAAAGGUAAACAAAAAUCAAGAAUUCAAUUGGAGACGAGAUGUUGUUGAUUGGAGAGAGGAGGGAGGGUUCACCUGUUCUUAUCUUAAGUUUUUUUUCAACCGACCCUUCUUGUCCACCUGCAGAAAGAUAGCUUGAUUAGUUGUAGGAUCAAGAACUAUGUUUGUAGGUGAAGGUAUGGAUAUGAUCAAUUAGUAAACUAAGAAAAGGAUAUAGGAUCCAAAAGUGUUUAUAAUCUUCAAAAUACUUUACCAAUUGCCAUGGGGGUGCUCUGCUUUCGGAGGCAUCUACAAACUUCCUGCACCCAUUUCUUCUCACCAAUCCUUUUGCUUAUCAAUGAUACCAAAACUGAAAACCUGCAAACAUCAGCUCUUUCAUCUCCUGAUCCACCUAUCUCGUCCCAUGAUCUUAAACAUGCAUUGCAAUCCUGAUGAUCCGGUUUGCCCUCUGAGCCCAAAGAUUGGCAAUCUUCACCUAAUUUCCUUAAUCUUUUUCCUAGCUUAUCAUCAACAUCCUUUACUGUAUAGUCAGAGCAGUCACUGGCUCCAGUGACCAGCCUCUCGAUGCCACAACUCAAACCAUCUUCACCAAUACUUUUCAUUGAAUCUAAGCAAUUUUUCUGCUCUGUGGAAUUGGAGAAUAUUUGUCCGGUCUUGUUAGCUUGCCUCCCCAAUGCAUACAAGUAACCUUCAAAAGCUACCGCACAACCUUUAUGGUAAAGAAAUCCACCCCAACUGCUUGCUUCAGAAUAUGAGUCGUUUCCGGGUGAAGAAAAUUGGAUAUCAAGGCUGCAAUCAGUGACUAAAAGUUCUGACAACACUGAACUGAUGAUGGUUGUCAAGAUGAUGAAGAUUAUUGAAGUUGGUGGUUUUUGAUGCUUCACUGGGUUAAAGCUAGGGAAAUUCGACAUGGAUUUAGCCAUCAGGGGUUUGAUUGGAGAGUGAACGAAAAGUGAGUUACUGUUGUCUUCCCUUCUGUGGCAUGAGAUGAUGGCUUAUGUGAGGUGAAUCAAAUUCUUGAAGAUGUUUCUAACAGGGAAGAAGUGGUAGAAGGAUUUAUUUGGGAGUUCUUAAAGUGAAACUAGUUGUAAUCUAUAAAGGUCUUAAAAAAUUUGUAGCA